rnacentral:rRNA from 1 species
CUUGAUAGCCUACUACACCCGCUAUCCGCCCGGGUACUACGAGCACUAGCUUAAAACCCAAAGGACUUGGCGGUGCUUUAGAUCCACCUAGAGGAGCCUGUUCUAGAACCGAUAACCCCCGUUAAACCUCACCCCCUCUUGUUUUACCCGCCUAUAUACCGCCGUCGUCAGCUUACCCUGUGAAGGCCCCAUAGUAAGCAAAAUCAGUACAACUCAAAACGCCAGGUCGAGGUGUAGCAUAUGAGGGGGGAAGAAAUGGGCUACAUUCCCUGUCACAGGGAACACGAACAAUGUAAUGAAACGCACAUUAGAAGGAGGAUUUAGCAGUAAGCAGAAAAUAGAGCG